rnacentral:rRNA from 1 species
AACGAACGCUGGCGGCAGGCUUAACACAUGCAAGUCGAACGCCCGUAGCAAUACGGGAGUGGCGGACGGGUGAGUAACGCGUGGGAACGUACCCUGAGGUACGGAAUAACCGAGGGAAACUUCGGCUAAUACCGUAUGAGCCCCGCAAGGGGGAAAGAUUUAUCGCCUUGGGAGCGGCCCGCGUCGGAUUAGCUAGUUGGUGGGGUAACGGCCUACCAAGGCUUCGAUCCGUAGCUGGUCUGAGAGGACGAUCAGCCACACUGGGACUGAGACACGGCCCAGACUCCUACGGGAGGCAGCAGUGGGGAAUCUUGCGCAAUGGGGGCAACCCUGACGCAGCCAUGCCGCGUGAACGAUGAAGGCCUUAGGGUUGUAAAGUUCUUUUACCCGUGACGAUGAUGACGGUAACGGGGAUAAGCUCCGGCUAACUUCGUG